UAGUCCACGCCGUAAACGAUCAUCACUCGCUGUGCGAUAUACGUGGUCAGCGGCCAAGCGAAAGUAUUAAGUGAUGCACCUGGGGAGUACGCCGGCAACGGUGAAACUCAAAGGAAUUGACGGGGGCCCGCACAAGCGGUGGAGCAUGUGGUUUAAUUCGAUGAUACGCGAGGAACCUUACCAGGGCUUAAAUGUAGUAUGACCGGUCUGGAAACAGACCUUCUCUUCGGAGCAGAUUACAAGGUGCUGCAUGGUUGUCGUCAGCUCGUGCCGUGAGGUGUUAGGUUAAGUCCUGCAACGAGCGCAACCCCUAUUCUUAGUUGCCAGCGGUUCGGCCGGGGACUCUAAGAAGACUGCCAGCGCAAGCUGAGAGGAAGGUGGGGAUGACGUCAAAUCAUCACGGCCCUUACGUCCUGGGCUACACACGUGCUACAAUUGGUAGAGACAGAGGGCAGGCCACCUGGUGACAGGGAGCGAAUCCUAAAAACUCUAUCUCAGUUCCGG
rnacentral:rRNA from 1 species